rnacentral:rRNA from 1 species
UACAGAGGGGCAAGCGUUGUUCGGAAUUACUGGGCGUAAAGGGCGCGUAGGCGGCCUCUUAAGUCGAACGUGAAAUCCCCGGGCUCAACCCGGGAACUGCGUCCGAUACUGGGGGGCUUGAAUCCGGGAGAGGGAUGUGGAAUUCCAGGUGUAGCGGUGAAAUGCGUAGAUAUCUGGAGGAACACCGGUGGCGAAGGCGGCAUCCUGGACCGGUAUUGACGCUGAGGCGCGAAAGCCAGGGGAGCAAACGGG